UUGCUCUUGUUUAGGCAGCACAUAUACUAAUAUUGGAAAAAUACAGAGAAGAUUAGCAUAACCCCUGUGCAAGAAUGACACACAAAUUCAUUAAGCAUUCCAUAUUUUC